rnacentral:rRNA from 1 species
AGGUAGCAUAAUAAUUUGUUAUUUAAUUUAUAACUAGAAUAAAUGAUCUGACAAAAAACCCUCUUUAUUAAUCUUCCUUGAAAUUAAUUUAAAAAUAAAAAAGUCUUUAUAUAUUAGAAAGACGAUAAGACCCUAAAACCUUUAUAUAUAAUAUUUUACUGGGGCGGUAAUUUUUAAUUCACUAAUUUAAGAAACACAAUGAUUGAAAUUAUCUAAUUACUUAAAUUCAAAAAGGUACUUUAGGGAUAACAGCAUAAUUUUUAUGUAGAGAUCUUAUCGAUAAUAAAAAAAGGAUUAUGGACCUCGAUGUUGGAAAUUGGAUUUUACUUGGU